GCAUGAGACCAAUCAAAACCCUAAUUCAAAACCCAUAUAUCCCUAUCUAGAUUUUAAUUCCCUACUCAAAACCCUAGAAAAAGGUAUGUCAUGAAUCACGAUCUCUUGUGUCAAUAAUCGUGGGAAUAUGUAUGUGGGUUUUAUGUUUUGUGGCCUGUGUUAAUUACUCGGCGUCUUGGUUUUAUGUUUUCUUCUUGGUGAAAAUUUCUAACUAGACGGAAAUGUCAACUGUUCGAGGAUUUCAGGAUCCCCUGAAGUGUACUGGUGCUUUGGUGAUUGAGCCAGCUGCUAGCUAUGGCUAUCACUGAUCAAAACUCAGUAGUGACUAACUACUCUUUUUGAUAAUUAACCUGGUGCAAUCAGUGGUAUGUCUCAAUUUGACAUAUAUGUUCUGUUAUAAUCAUAGAUUUCCAGCAAGCUGCAGUUUAUCUAUGGUUGAGAUUUAUAAUACCUGUGGUACAUAUGGUCUGCAGGCCUAAAAUCUUUACCUCUUAGUUUGGAAAUUAUUGUCCUAACUUACACAUCUUAGUUUGAUAUGGUGAGAUGAAGACCUUACUAGGGGUGUGUGCAGAUAGAGUCAAUUUUAUUGGAUGAUUCUGUUGGGUUUUUACAUGUGUUGGUUACUCAACUCUUUUGGUUCUCCUGAGAAAGAGAUCCAAUUAGAAGAGCUUAGUGGCACAAUAUGGUAAUUGAGACCAUAGAAUGCUUCAGUUGAAAUAUGAUCCAAAAUUAUAGCUCUCUGCCUCUUUUUUCUAAUCUCAAUUUAUGAAAUUGUUGGUGCAACAUUCAAGGCAGUGAAUCUGAUUUAGCCUAGAGACUGCAUGAUUUUAGAAGAGAGUACAGUGGAUGAGCGGAUCCUUUGGGUCAUUAAAGACGGAGCCAACAAAAGAAAAAAUUGCCAAAUUUAUUAGCACUCUUUGGCCUUUCUGAUCAUAUUUGCAGGUAGGAUAUGCUCCCUUUCGGCUGAUAGAAAGUUGGAUGGGAGAAUGUAGCAUUACAUGUAGAUUGUAUUUCUGUUGAUAUAUAUCUCAAGUAACUCAUCUUGUUCUUCCUCCAAAUCUUAUGCAUGCAUAUGGAAAGCAAGAUGAAAGAUCUUGAAUAAAUGUUUUGGAGUGAUUAAACCAUAAUUUUAAUUCGCUGUAAUAUGAGACGAGUUGCUCUUGCCCUACUUUCUGAAUGCAAGUAGACCACAUUUCAACAAAAUCUGAAAAGUUUGAGUUAGAAAGAUUUCUGUGCAGUUGAUGUAAUUUCUGGACUGUGAACCCAUGUGAAACACUUCAAAUUUUACAAGGAAAAAUUUACAACCUCUCUUUCCAAUUUCCAUUAAGAGUUGUUGGACCUUUGGAACUCUCACCAUCUUUUGGCACAUUGUAAUGUAUAAAUGAAAAAGAUUCUAUAUAUGGAGUUUUCUGAUUUUGUUUCUAACAUCUAGUGUUUGAUUCU
rnacentral:lncRNA from 1 species